rnacentral:lncRNA from 1 species
GGGAGAGCUCGUGGCCUACGUUAUGGGUCUAACGCCCAGCUCUGCUCAUCCAUUGUCCUAAUGCUCUGCCAACUUCUCCAGCCCACAGGCACCCGUCCAACCUUUUGACCUUCUCAAGGCUCAAGAUGUGGAAAUGCGGCCUUGGGAGAUGCAUUCCUCCAUGGGUCCUUGGCUGGUGAGAGGCAGAGCUGGUGAGCCUAGGGAGUCUGUUCUCCAGUGCUUCCGAGCACCAACAGUGAGCCAGGGCUCACGGUCCUGCUCUCACUUGGCUUCCUCCAGCUCCUUGUCAUCGUUGUCUUAACAUCAUGGGGACACAUUACACAUGCUGGAGAAGAUGCCUCUGUGGGAAAUGUACUCAGGAGGCCCCUGCACCAUUCUCUACCUUCCUCUCUGCUCUGACCUGUGACCAGGCAAGAAGGAUAGGGACCAGUUCUCUCCCCACACUAACGCUCCAAGGUGACUGUCACAGUGGGUUUCACCCGCAGCCUCCUCCAUCUGCCUAGAAGAGACCAGAGGCACACACAGAAACAAGACGGUCAGGGGCUCUGGGGCCCUGCAGAGGGCGGAUGCCUGCGAGGCAGAAGUGCCACCUGCUGGUGGACAUCGGCAUGGCCGACAGCACCCCAGCUCACUCCCCACGAAUCCAGGCAUCUGCUAGCAGGAUGGCGAUCAUGACAUCCAGCGACGUCAUGGGCGUUUCCAGAAGCUGCCCAGCAGUGGGCCUGGGGCGCGGCAGCUUCAUCACUGGGUUCAUUUUCCCGCCUAACUACAGGGAGUGUGUUGUGCUGCUGGUCACCAGCAGAGGGCGCACCUAAAGCAAGCGAGGGCCGGAAGUUUUUGAGCCUGGCCUGCCUUUUGGAAUAUUUUUUAUAACGAUGCAAAAUUCAGAAUUAAAGCAAGC